CUUUGAUUAUGAUGUUGUUUGUUCUUAGUUAUCUUUUGAUGUUGAGGUUAUUCUUGUUUUCCAUUUUGAUCUUAUGGAUUUGAAUCGUGAUUGAAAAAUACCUUUUGAAUCUAGGUUAGAAUAAUCUUCUAUCAAAUCUCUUGUUCUAGACAUGGAAUUAGGUUUUGGUAAUCACUUUGACUAUUGGAACUUAAAGCUUUUGCA
rnacentral:lncRNA from 1 species